rnacentral:rRNA from 1 species
GAUGAACGCUGGCGGCGUGCCUAAUACAUGCAAGUCGAGCGAACAGACGAGGAGCUUGCUCCUCUGACGUUAGCGGCGGACAGGUGAGUAACACGUGGAUAACCUACCUAUAAGACUGGGAUAACUUCGGGAAACCGGAGCUAAUACCGGAUAAUAUAUUGAACCGCAUGGUUCAAUAGUGAAAGACGGUUUUGCUGUCACUUAUAGAUGGAUCCGCGCCGCAUUAGCUAGUUGGUAAGGUAACGGCUUACCAAGGCAACGAUGCGUAGCCGACCUGAGAGGGUGAUCGGCCACACUGGAACUGGGACACGGUCCAGACUCCUACGGGAGGCAGCAGUAGGGAAUCUUCCGCAAUGGGCGAAAGCCUGACGGGGCAACGCCGCGUGAGUGAUGAAGGUCUUCGGAUCGUAAAACUCUGUUAUUAGGGAAGAACAAAUGUGUAAGUAACUAUGCACGUCUUGACGGUACCUAAUCAGAAAGCCACGGCUAACUACGUG